UCGGUUGGGCCAGCUUGUUCAGUCUUUGACUCGCCUCGUCUCUACAAGGUCAACGAAGUUUUGAUACGCCGAAGCCGAAGAGAGCGAACUAACUGUUUAUCCAUUGACACUCCCUCUUACCCGUUGCAAGCGCCAUCUUCCGUCUUCGACAUAUUGGAAAUGCUUUCGUGCCAGAAAUACAAGCUUCACUCUCCGCGCUCUCUCCUUCUCCAAUCCCUCACCACCCCAAUUUCCACCAUCGUUAAUUGCCAGAAUCCACAUAGCCCGGAUUCCCAGAACCUCAUUCUUCGCAAGCAGAACUCCAAAUCCAGCGCCUUUCUCCUUCACCAACUUUCUCUUGACCAAGAAAACCAUCAUUCUCAGCACUUCAACCUCAAAUCCAAUGACCUUCAACACAACAUGCCCGAUGAAGAAAAGAUUAAGCUGUUAGAGCUUUCUCUGGUAAGGAAAAGGACCCCUCAGUUUCCCGGGUCCAUCUAUGUUCAAUCUCCCAGUGAUCCCGAUGUGGGUUCUUCUUUGCCGCCUCUGCGAACUCUGUUUAGAGAAAAAGUUGAAGGUGAAGGUGCAGAUGAGGAGGAGAUGAUAAUGCGUGCGAUUGAGAUUCGAAGGAAGGUGACGCGAGAGAUUUUUAUACAAGCUAUGCGAAAGGGCAAGUUUGGAAUCACGUAUGCUACCAAUUUGGUCAAUCGAUUGACUGGUUUUAUCGAUUAUAUUAUGAUUGAAGCUGCUUCGAUGAAAAGGAUACCUGAGUAUUCGCAUUCCACGUUCAAUUUACGCGCCAAAACUGUUAUAGACGACUCACAAGUUGUGCAUCUUAUCAGAUGGUUGAAGCAUAAUGCACUGUCAUAUCAUCGGAUAUCAAAGCUCAUUUUGAUGUCAAGAGGAAACCUUGAGUCUAUAAGACGCCUUGCUGAGUGGUUGAAGUCAGUACACGUGAAAGGAGAAUUUCUUGGGGUUACACUUGUGAAUGCUGGAGAUAAUGUUCUGGAACGCAGCGAUGAGGAGCUGGAUGAGAUUGUUGAGUAUUUAGAGAGCAAGGGAGUCAGGAGGGAUUGGAUGGGUUAUGUCAUAAGUCGAUGUCCUCAAUUGUUAUCUUACAGCAUGGAAGAAGUGAAGACUCGUGUGAAAUUCUACAUAGAUAUGGGUUUAAAUGAUCAUGAUUUUGGCACGAUGGUUUUUGAUUAUCCUAAAGUUCUUGGUCACUUUACUCUAGAAGAAAUGAAUCAAAAGGUUAGUUACUUAAAGGAGUUUGGGCUCAAAACUGAGGAUGUUGGUAGAUUGCUAGCAUUUAAGCCACAAUUGAUGGGAUGUAGCAUUGAAGAAGGAUGGAAGCCUCUUGCUAAGUAUUUGUAUUAUUUUGGGAUUACCCGAGAUGGUAUGAGGAGAAUGCUUAUGAUCAAACCAAUGGUCUUUUGUAUCGAUUUGCAGACAACUAUUGUGCCUAAGGUAAAGUUUUUUCAAGAUAUAGGGAUUCGAGAUGAUGCAAUUGGAAACAUGCUUGUGAAGUUUCCUACUCUGCUCACGUACAGCCUCUACAAGAAGAUUAGGCCAGUGGUCAUAUUCUUGAUGACCAAAGCUGGGGUCAGCGAUAAAGAUAUUGCAAAGGCUAUUGCUCUGGGACCAGAGCUCUUGGGAUGCAGCAUAACGCAUAAGCUUGAAGUGAAUGUAAAAUAUUAUCUGUCACUGGGCAUACGUUUUAAGCAAUUGGGUGAGAUGAUUGCGGAUUUCCCGAUGCUGCUCAGAUACAACAUAGAUAUCCUUCGUCCCAAGUAUAGUUAUUUGCGACGAACCAUGGUCCGGCCUUUGGAAGAUCUCAUUGAGUUUCCAAGGUUUUUCAGUUAUUCUCUCAAUGGCCGAAUUAUUCCAAGGCACAAGGUUCUGGUGGAGAAUCGGAUUAAUUUGAAGCUGCGGUAUAUGUUAGCCUGUUCUGAUGAAGAAUUCAGAAAAUUGGUAGACUCUAAAAUUAGAAAGCGACACAUGCUGCCAUCUGCAGGCACGGGUGCUGAUAUUACAGACCCCCAGACAAAUUGAUGUCUUUCUGGGAUAUGAAUUAUUGGUUGGGUUUGUGGGAAGUGAAGCAAAAUGGUCAAAUAUCUUGUCUCUAUUGACAGCGAGACAAGUAAUUCUCACGAAUUCAUAAAAAAUGUAGAUGCUAAGUGACAUAUCUUGGUAGCGUAUAUCAUGCUAGUGGAGGAGCUGGAGGUCCCAUAUCUUCAUGAAAUGGUGAAAGAGUAAAGAUGAGGAAGGUAUGAACAAAUUGCGUGUUAUGAGACGGUUGAGAUGUGGGGGCUUGGGGUCGGGGACGAAUUCAGAAUUCAUCACAUGGGGGGCUAUAAUUGAAAUUUCAUCUAAAUGUGGGGGGCGUUAACUGAAAUUUUAUUCAAAUGUGAGAAGCUAACUGUAAUUGUUUGCAUUUUUUUAUGAACAAAUUAUAUUUAUUUUUAAAAAAAUUUGGGGUGGGAGGACCAACAGGGGCUGGCCCCCCUUAAAUUCGUCACUGCUUGGGGUUAUAUUGCACAGACUCGUGUAGCAAGACAAUUCUUCAUGGAUUUGAAUUUGAAUCUUAUAUUUCAAAUUCAAGUAUUUAAAA